rnacentral:rRNA from 1 species
UUGCUAGUAAUGGCAGGUCAGCAUACUGCCGUGAAUACGUUCCCGGGCCUUGUACACACCGCCCGUCACACCAUGAGAGUUGGGAAUACCCGAAGCCUGUGAGCUAACUUAUAGAGGCAGCAGUCGAAGGUAGAAUCAAUGAUUGGGGUGAAGUCGUAACAAGGUAGC